rnacentral:rRNA from 1 species
UUAACCAGCCAUAUCACCCUGUAGCUCAAGACCCUGUACCCAAUGAAGCUAAGCAGGGUUGAGCCUGGUCAGUACCUGGAUGGGAGACCUCGUGGGAAAACGUCUCCAGGUUACG